UGGCGGACGGGUGAGUAACGCGUGGAUAAUCUGCCCUACACAGGGGGAUAACAGCCGGAAACGGCUGCUAAUACCGCAUAGACUGUAUUCUCGCAUGAGAGAACAGGGAAAGAUUUAUCGGUGUAGGAUGAAUCCGCGUCCGAUUAGCUAGUUGGAGGGGUAACGGCCCACCAAGGCGACGAUCGGUAGCCGGCCUGAGAGGGCGACCGGCCACAUUGGGACUGAGACACGGCCCAGACUCCUACGGAAGGCAGCAG
rnacentral:rRNA from 1 species